ACAGACCUCUAAUCGACUUGCUUCCAAAAUCAAAUUCGUUCGCCCUGAAGUCCUUUAAAACUUUCAAGAAGACAUCGAUGGGAAAUAACCAUCGUGGUGGUCUCUGCAAGUCGAAGAACAUGGUGCAGCCGAGUUGGAAAUCGCCUCACUUCGCCACUAUUGUUCUCCCUCCUCCGGUCACCUUUUGCCAUUUUUCUUGAAGGGAUUAUGCACUCCUGAGGAUGUAGAUCAUUUAUCCUAAGGUGGGUUGCAUCAAAUCGAGCUGUGGUGAUCGAAUUCGCACGAUUUGGAAACUAGGGUUCAUCCGAUCUGAAAAUGUUGUGAGGUGAUUGACGGUCUCCCUUGGGUGAGCGAUUUCGGUGUGUAUUGUGUUGAAUUGAAGACGCAGCGGGAAUAUCGAGCGGGUAAUCCUACAGGUCAGGAGAAUCAGGACGGUGAUCGUGCGGGUUAGAGAAUUUGUUUUAGUUUUACAGCAAUUGUAAUUGUGAGGUGAGUUAUGCUCAUUUGAGCCUUACAAUAUAAUUUGGUGAGAGUGUGCUGUAAUAAACAAAUUUGAGAUUUGGUUUAUGUAAUAUCGAGCGAUGUGAGGUGUGGUUGUUUUGAGAAAAAAAUUCAGGUUGUAUUUUUGUGAGUUGUAUUAAUUCAUGU